rnacentral:tRNA from 1 species
UCCCUGGUGGUCCAGUUGGCUAAGACUCUACACUCCUAAUGCAGGGGACCUGGGUUCCAUCCCUGGUCAGGGAA